ensembl:lncRNA
AUUCGCCUUCGCUUCUGUUUUACAGGUGUUCUGCAAAGCCCAACCCAGCAGCUUGAAGAGCUGUGAUGAGCCCGUGCCUGUGCUGAAGCAUUACAUCAUUCCAACCGGAAUCUCACCUUGCUUGCUGUUGUGCUGUGUGGCUUACCUGGUGGUGGGGAGAGAAGAGGAGAUGGAGAAAACAAUGCUGCGUGUUAGGAAAUAUGAGACAAAGUCAGUUAGCCGCAAGGUGAAUUUAAAAACCUACCAAUGUCUGAAGGAUGAGGGUUUCCAAUGGACUGAUGUUACAAAAUCUGCUUACAAAGUUUCCC